GACGAACGCUGGCGGCGUGCUUAACACAUGCAAGUCGAACGGAAAGGCCCUGCUUUUGUGGGGUGCUCGAGUGGCGAACGGGUGAGUAACACGUGAGUAACCUGCCCUUGACUUUGGGAUAACUUCAGGAAACUGGGGCUAAUACCGGAUAGGAGCUCCUGCUGCAUGGUGGGGGUUGGAAAGUUUCGGCGGUUGGGGAUGGACUCGCGGCUUAUCAGCUUGUUGGUGGGGUAGUGGCUUACCAAGGCUUUGACGGGUAGCCGGCCUGAGAGGGUGACCGGCGACACUGGGACUGAGGUACGGCACAGACGCCUACGGGAGGCAGCAGUGGGGAAUAUUGCACAAUGGGCGGAAGCCUGAUGCAGCAACGCCGCGUGCGGGAUGACGGCCUUCGGGUUGUAAACCGCUUUCGCCUGUGACGAAGCGUGAGUGACGGUAAUGGGUAAAGAAGCACCGGCUAACUACGUG
rnacentral:rRNA from 1 species